GACGAACGCUGGCGGCGUGCUUAACACAUGCAAGUCGAACGGAAAGGCCCUGCUUUUGUGGGGUGCUCGAGUGGCGAACGGGUGAGUAACACGUGAGUAACCUGCCCUUGACUUUGGGAUAACUUCAGGAAACUGGGGCUAAUACCGGAUAGGAGCUCCUGCUGCAUGGUGGGGGUUGGAAAGUUUCGGCGGUUGGGGGUGGACUCGCGGCUUAUCAGCUUGUUGGUGGGGUAGUGGCUUACCAAGGCUUUGACGGGUAGCCGGCCUGAGAGGGUGACCGGCCACAUUGGGACUGAGAUACGGCCCAGACUCCUACAGGAGGCAGCAGUGGGGAAUAUUGCACAAUGGGCGGAAGCCCGAUGCAGCAACGCCGCGUGCGGGAUGACGGCCUUCGGGUUGUAAACCGCUUUCGCCUGUGACGAAGCGUGAGUGACGGUAAUGGGUAAAGAAGCACCGGCUAACUACGUG
rnacentral:rRNA from 1 species